UCUGGUUGAUCCUGCCAGUAGUCAUAUGCUUGUCUCAAAGAUUAAGCCAUGCAUGUCUAAGUAUAAAUAGUAUACAGUGAAACUGCGAAUGGCUCAUUGAAACAGUUAUAGUUUAUUUGAUAAUUGACAAUUACAUGGAUAACCGUGGUAAUUCUAGAGCUAAUACAUGCUUAAACGCCCGACUUUAUGGAAGGGUGGUAUUUAUUAGACUGAAGCCAAUAUUCCUUGUGUCUAUUGCGGUGAUUCAUAAUAACUGAUCGAAUCUCUUUUUGAGAUAAAUCAUUCAAGUUUCUGCCCUAUCAGCUUUCGAUGGUAGUGUAUUGGACUACCAUGGCAGUAACGGGUAACGAAGAAUUAGGGUUCGAUUUCGGAGAGGGAGCAUGAGAAACGGCUACCACAUCUAAGGAAGGCAGCAGGCGCGUAAAUUACCCAAUCCUGACUCAGGGAGGUAGUGACAAGAAAUAGCAAACCGGGAACCUCAUGGUUUCACGGUAUUGCAAUGAGAACAAUUUAAAACCCUUAGCGAGAAUCAAGUGGAGGACAAGUCUGGUGCCAGCACCCGCGGUAAUUCCAGCUCCACUAGCGUAUAUUAAAGUUGUUGCAGUUAAAAAGCUCGUAGUUGAACCUCUGUCUGGGGCUAGUUUUGGCUUUGGUCAGGCUAGUUCUAGGCAUCCGCCUACAAGACUUAGAGGGCAUUCAGUUGUUCACUAGGAGGGGUAGGCAUUUUACUUUGAAAAAAUUAGAGUGUUUAAGGCAGGCAAUCGCCCGCAUAUAUUAGCAUGGAAUAAUAGAAUAGGACACUUUUCCAUUUCGUUGGUUAUUGGAAUCGUGUAAUGAUUAAUAGGGACAGUUGUGGGCAUUUGCAUUUAAUUGUCAGAGGUGAAAUUCUUGGAUUUAUUAAAGACAAACUAACGCGAAAGCAUUUGCCAAGGAUGUUUUCAUUAAUCAAGAACGAAAGUUAGGGGAUCAAAGACGAUCAGAUACCGUCCUAGUCUUAACUAUAAACUAUUCCGACUCAAUGUUUGACUGGCUUAUAUAACCAGUUGAGCGUUGUAUGAGAAAUCAAAGUCUUUAGGUUCUGGGGGGAGUAUGGUUGCAAAGCUGAAACUUAAAGGAAUUGACGGAAGAGCACAACCAGGAGUGGAUUCUGCGGCUUAAUUUGACUCAACACGGGGAAACUUACCAGGUUAAAACAAUAGUGGGAUUGACAGUUUGAGAGCGCUUUCUUGAUUGGUUGGGUGGUGGUGCAUGGCCGUUCUUAGUUGGUGGAGUGAUUUGUCUGCUUAAUUGCGUUAACGAACGAGACCUUAACCUGCUUACUAGAC
rnacentral:rRNA from 1 species